UCCGGUUGAUCCUGCCGGACCCCACUGCUAUCGGGGUGGGACUAAGACAUGCUAGUCGUGCGCCUCCAAGCCACGGUGGAGGCGCGGCGCACAGCUCAGUAACACGUGGCUAACCUACCCUUGGGACAGGGACAACCCCGGGAAACUGGGGCUAAUCCCCGAUAGGUGAGGACUCCUGGAAUGGGUCCUCGCUGAAAGGGCGUCUAGACCAUGCUUCUAGACGCUGCCCAAGGAUGGGGCCGCGGCCGAUCAGGUUGUUGGUGAGGUAACGGCUCACCAAGCCUAAGACCGGUACGGGCCGUGAGAGCGGGAGCCCGGAGAUGGACACUGAGACAAGGGUCCAGGCCCUACGGGGCGCAGCAGUCGCGAAACCUCCGCAAUACGCGAAAGCGUGACGGGGCCACCCCGAGUGCCGUCCGCUGAGGACGGCUUUUCCCCAGUGUAGACAGCUGGGGGGAAUAAGGGGAGGGCAAGUCGGGUGUCAGCCGCCGCGGUAAUACCCGCUCCCCGAGUGGUGGGGACGCUUAUUGGGCCUAAAGCAUCCGUAGCCGGCUGGACAAGUCCCCUGUUAAAUCCAGCGAUUUAAUCGCUGGACUGCGGGGGAUACUGUCCAGCUAGGGGGCGGGAGAGGCCGGCGGUAUUCCCGGGGUAGGGGUGAAAUCUUAUAAUCCCGGGAGGACCACCAGUGGCGAAGGCUGCCGGCUGGAACGCGCCCGACGGUGAGGGAUGAAAGCUGGGGGAGCGAACCGGAUUAGAUACCCGGGUAGUCCCAGCUGUAAACGAUGCGGGCUAGGUGUUGGCACGGCUACAAGCCGUGUCAGUGCCGCAGGGAAGCCGUUAAGCCCGCCGCCUGGGGAGUACGGCCGCAAGGCUGAAACUUAAAGGAAUUGGCGGGGGAGCACCACAAGGGGUGAAGCUUGCGGUUUAAUUGGAGUCAACGCCGGG
rnacentral:rRNA from 1 species